UACGUAGGGUGCGAGCGUUAAUCGGAAUUACUGGGCGUAAAGCGUGCGCAGGCGGUUGGCUAAGUCAGACGUGAAAGCCCCGGGCUUAACCUGGGAACGGCGUUUGAAACUGGCUGGCUGGAGUACGGCAGAGGGGGGUGGAAUUCCACGUGUAGCAGUGAAAUGCGUAGAUAUGUGGAGGAACACCGAUGGCGAAGGCAGCCCCCUGGGCCGAUACUGACGCUCAUGCACGAAAGCGUGGGGAGCAAACAGG
rnacentral:rRNA from 1 species